rnacentral:lncRNA from 1 species
AAGAAAGGGGAGUAAUGAGACACCCACAAUACCAAGGACCCCACCCCUCGACGUCUUCUUCACAAAAAGCAACGAUUUCUCUAUUGCUUUCUCCAACAGAGAACGCUAGAGACCAGCAAAAGCACACCAUAUUCUUUAGCCUUUUCUUCUUCUUUGAACCCAACACAUAAACACAACAGCUAACACACAUAGAGGCACCACGCCACCACCCUCAGCUCGCAAAAUUACACUUCAGUUUCUUCCGUUAAAUUUUUGCUUCAAAAACAAUGGAGUUCGUUUGAAUCUUAGAGCUAUUUCGGGUUGACUCGGAGUACCGUCCGAGGUUGGGUUCAAGGUCCAAUCAUGAGGUUUAGUUAGUAAUUCCGAUUUGUUUCGCGAUUCUGUCCGGGUCGAAUUGCUUUUGAUUUUUGAUUGAAGUUAUGGUUCCAUUUUGUUUAUGCAAUUGCUUCAAUUUUGUUUAUCAAUCAAGAGACUAUCUCAAGAUUUGGUCAUUUGGGUUUCUGUUGCAAGUGAUUAGUGAGGGAUUUAUUAUUGAAUUUUUGUUGAAUGAAUGAAUUGGUCGGACCUCGCCUGUACAGCUGCUAUAAAUUUUGCAAUCACUGAUUUCGAUCAAAAUUGAAGUCUAUUGUGAGUUUGUCCGGUCGAGGUUCACUCUUCUCCCCUCUUCUAUUGUUUGCACUGUUAAUUUGUGUAUUGUAACGAAUUGCUCCUUAUAUCAGAUUUUUCCUUCUCUGUUAUCCUCGAUUUGAAUUGCUAAAAUGACUUUGAAUGUCAUAUGGUUUGAUCGUCAACCAUAGACUCACGCUCCCUCUUAGUGAUUUUUCUUAUCUUCAGAGCUAAAAUUAUCAUGUGUACAGCAAAAGAGUAUUGAAUCUGGGUUUAUAGUAAAAAGGAGUUUGAAACUGGUAAGAGAAGAGAAACCAGAAAAAGGAAAAUGUUGAAACUCUAGC